rnacentral:misc_RNA from 1 species
UGAGCAUGGAAUUCAUUUGCAUAGUUUCAUUACAUAAUCAUGAGAAUGUAGUUAUCCUCUUUGAAUUUGAGGAUUUAUUUUCAUUUGUGUGACUCAAUUUGUUGAACUUUCAAGUUGGAUUUGACCUUAUUUGUAGUGUUGAGUAUUGUCAUUGACAUUGAUGAAAAGAAAUUUUUCUAAAGGUUAGGUCUUGAUCAUUUAUUUGUAUCCCAAAAUUGUGUUUGCUGUUGCCUGUUGUUAUAUUGUGGAGUUGCUUUUUAAUAUUGAACAAUAGACAAGUCAUUAAUCUUGUAAGUUGAUGAACGGACUAUGUUGCUCUGGAAAAUGAGUCAUUAAUCUUGUGUUUGCAGUGGUUUUGAAAAUAUAUUGGGCGAUGGAAUAAAAUUAAGAUACAGCAUACACAAAAUUUGUGAUAAUCAACUAUUCUUUUCAGGAAUGAGAAGGAACUCGACUUAAAGCCAUGAUGAAAGGAUUUUUUUUCCCCAAUGGCUUUUUGAUAGUUAAGUCUUGCAAAGUAGGUUGCUCCUUAUUAGGCGAUUAGGAAUGGACAUCAGCAAUUAUGUAAACAUUUUUCCCUGACAAUGUUUGUGUAUAUAGUUUUUUACUUACAUAAGGAAAACCUGGUUUUACUUUCGGUAACUUUUUAAUAGUCUAUGUUGGAACAAAUUGUUGAUAUGGAAAUUUCUUUAAUUUGGUCUUUUAUUUCUUGAUGGUUCGGAGAAUGGCUGUUUACUUAUGGACAUCUGAAAUAGAAGAUAAUCACGGUUACAUGAUCAUGUUGGGACCGCUACCUAUUGAUUUGAAGCGUGAUAUCGUGCUAUUCAAUGGUGUUACAUCAAAACUAAAGAUCACAUUUUUUUUACAACAUUAAUGUGAUUUGAAUAUCA